UACGAAGGGGGCUAGCGUUGUUCGGAAUUACUGGGCGUAAAGCGCGCGUAGGCGGUGAUCUAUGUCAGAGGUGAAAUCCCGGGGCUCAACUCCGGAAUUGCCUUUGAAACGGGAUCGCUAGAGUCCGAGAGAGGAUGGCGGAAUUCCUAGUGUAGAGGUGAAAUUCGUAGAUAUUAGGAAGAACACCGGUGGCGAAGGCGGCCAUCUGGCUCGGUACUGACGCUCAGGCGCGAAAGCGUGGGGAGCAAACAGG
rnacentral:rRNA from 1 species